rnacentral:rRNA from 2 species
CUACCACUUACAGAUGGACCCGCGGCGCAUUAGCUAGUUGGUGAGGUAACGGCUCACCAAGGCGACGAUGCGUAGCCGACUUGAGAGGGUGAUCGGCCACACUGGGACUGAGACACGGCCCAGACUCCUACGGGAGGCAGCAGUAGGGAAUCUUCCGCAAUGGACGAAAGUCUGACGGAGCAACGCCGCGUGAGUGAUGAAGGUUUUCGGAUCGUAAAACUCUGUUGUUAGGGAAGAACAAGUAUCGUUCGAAUAGGGCGGUACCUUGACGGUACCUAACCAGAAAGCCACGGCUAACUACGUGCCAGCAGCCGCGGUAAUACGUAGGUGGCAAGCGUUGUCCGGAAUUAUUGGGCGUAAAGCGCGCGCAGGCGGUUUCUUAAGUCUGAUGUGAAAGCCCACGGCUCAACCGUGGAGGGUCAUUGGAAACUGGGAGACUUGAGUGCAGAAGAGAAGAGCGGAAUUCCACGUGUAGCGGUGAAAUGCGUAGAGAUGUGGAGGAACACCAGUGGCGAAGGCGGCUCUUUGGUCUGUAACUGACGCUGAGGCGCGAAAGCGUGGGGAGCGAACAGGAUUAGAUACCCUGGUAGUCCACGCCGUAAACGAUGAGUGCUAAGUGUUAGAGGGUUUCCGCCCUUUAGUGCUGCAGCUAACGCAUUAAGCACUCCGCCUGGGGAGUACGGCCGCA